UACGGAGGAUCCAAGCGUUAUCCGGAUUUAUUGGGUUUAAAGGGUGCGUAGGCGGCCUGUUAAGUCAGGGGUGAAAGACGGUAGCUCAACUAUCGCAGUGCCCUUGAUACUGAUGGGCUUGAAUACACUAGAGGUAGGCGGAAUGUGACAAGUAGCGGUGAAAUGCAUAGAUAUGUCACAGAACACCAAUUGCGAAGGCAGCUUACUAUGGUGUCAUUGACGCUCAGGCGCGACAGCGUGGGGAUCAAACAGC
rnacentral:rRNA from 1 species